UGAGGAAUAUUGGUCAAUGGACGCAAGUCUGAACCAGCCAAGUAGCGUGCAGGAUGACGGCCCUAUGGGUUGUAAACUGCUUUUAUAUGGGGAUAAAGUGGGGAACGUGUUCCCUUUUGCAGGUACCAUAUGAAUAAGGACCGGCUAAUUCCGUGCCAGCAGCCGCGGUAAUACGGAAGGUUCGGGCGUUAUCCGGAUUUAUUGGGUUUAAAGGGAGCGUAGGCCGUUUGGUAAGCGUGUUGUGAAAUGUAGGAGCUCAACUUCUAGAUUGCAGCGCGAACUGUCAGACUGGAGUGCGCACAACGUAGGCGGAAUUCAUGGUGUAGCGGUGAAAUGCUUAGAGAUCAUGAAGAACUCCGAUUGCGAAGGCAGCUUACGGGAGCGCAACUGACGCUGAAGCUCGAAGGUGCGGGUAUCGAACAGG
rnacentral:rRNA from 1 species